UGGCGGCGCACAUAAGACAUGCAAGUCGAACGAACUUAAUUUUAAUGUUUACAUUAAGGAGCGGUUAGUGGCGGACUGGUGAGUAACGCGUAAGCAAUCUGCCUAUUAGAGGGGAAUAACAGUGAGAAAUCACUGCUAAUACCGCAUAUGCCAUAAGAACCACAUGGUUCUAGUGGGAAAGGAGUAAUCCACUAAUAGAUGAGCUUGCGUCUGAUUAGCUAGUUGGUGGGGUAAUGGCCUACCAAGGCAACGAUCAGUAGCCGAACUGAGAGGUUGAUCGGCCACAUUGGGACUGAGAUACGGCCCACACUCCUACGGGAGGCAGCAGUCGGGAAUAUUGCGCAAUGGUGGAAACUCUGACGCAGCGACGCCGCGUAUAGGAAGAAGGUUUUCGGAUUGUAAACUAUUGUCGUUAGGGAAGAUAAAAGACAGUACCUAAGGAGGAAGCUCCGGCUAACUACGUGCCAGCAGCCGCGGUAAUACGUAGGGAGCAAGCGUUAUCCGGAUUUAUUGGGUGUAAAGGGUGCGUAGACGGGAAAUUAAGUUAGUUGUGAAAUCCCUCGGCUCAACUGAGGAACUGCAACUAAAACUGGUUUUCUUGAGUGCAGGAGAGGUAAGUGGAAUUCCUAGUGUAGCGGUGAAAUGCGUAGAUAUUAGGAGGAACACCAGUGGCGAAGGCGACUUACUGGACUGUAACUGACGUUGAGGCACGAAAGUGUGGGGAGCAAACAGGAUUAGAUACCCUGGUAGUCCACACCGUAAACGAGGGAUACUAGGUGUGGGGUUAUUAAGCAUUCUGUGCCGUCGCAAACGCAGUAAGUAUCCCACCUGGGGAGUACGGCCGCAAGGUUGAAACUCAAAGGAAUUGACGGGGGCCCGCACAAGCAGUGGAGUAUGUGGUUUAAUUCGAAGCAACGCGAAGAACCUUACCAGGGCUUGACAUAUAGAGGAAUAUAUUAGAGAUAAUAUAGCUCUUCGGAGUCUCUAUACAGGUGGUGCAUGGUUGUCGUCAGCUCGUGUCGUGAGAUGUUGGGUUAAGUCCCGCAACGAGCGCAACCCCUGUUUCUAGUUGCCAGCACAUAAUGGUGGGAACUCUAGAAAGACUGCCGGUGAUAAAUCGGAGGAAGGUGGGGAUGACGUCAAAUCAUCAUGCCCUUUAUGUCCUGGGCUACACACGUACUACAACGGCCGCGACAGAGGGAAGCAAAGUAGUGAUACUAAGCAAAACCCAAAAAACGGUCUCAGUUCGGAUUGAAGGCUGAAAUUCGCCUUCAUGAAGCUGGAAUUGCUAGUAAUGGCAGGUCAGCAUACUGCCGUGAAUACGUUCCCGGGCCUUGCACA
rnacentral:rRNA from 1 species